rnacentral:lncRNA from 1 species
CCCCCCGCCUCCACGGCCGACCGCCCAGGAGGUGGCGGUAGCUUUUUCGUCAGCGCUUAAGAGCAAGUUCUAGCCACUAUACUAGCUCCAAUUUAUCUAUAGUCAAUCUAAUAGUCAAUUUAUAUAAUAGUUACUUACAAAGCAUUAAUAUAUGAUCAUACAUAUCAUACACACGGUGUACUAAAGCCCGUACUACAGCUGGCUAUUUACUGCUUUUCUUUCUUUGCUCUUAUCUCUUUUAAAUAUGUUUAUAGCUGGUUUAUAGUAUGUUAUUGUACUUGCUCUUAAACAAGCCAGGGGAAAGACCAGAGGUGAUUGUUUGGGUGUUGCUUGGAGAAAAGUUAAACAGUAUAUAUUUGUAAUGAAA